rnacentral:rRNA from 1 species
GACGAACGCUGGCGGCGUGCCUAAUACAUGCAAGUAGAACGCUGAAGAGAGGAGCUUGCUCUUCUUGGAUGAGUUGCGAACGGGUGAGUAACGCGUAGGUAACCUGCCUUGUAGCGGGGGAUAACUAUUGGAAACGAUAGCUAAUACCGCAUAACAAUGGAUGACACAUGUCAUUUAUUUGAAAGGGGCAAUUGCUCCACUACAAGAUGGACCUGCGUUGUAUUAGCUAGUAGGUGAGGUAACGGCUCACCUAGGCGACGAUACAUAGCCGACCUGAGAGGGUGAUCGGCCACACUGGGACUGAGACACGGCCCAGACUCCUACGGGAGGCAGCAGUAGGGAAUCUUCGGCAAUGGGGGCAACCCUGACCGAGCAACGCCGCGUGAGUGAAGAAGGUUUUCGGAUCGUAAAGCUCUGUUGUAAGUCAAGAACGAGUGUGAGAGUGGAAAGUUCACACUGUGACGGUAGCUUACCAGAAAGGGACGGCUAACUACGCGCCAGCAGCCGCGGUAAUACGUAGGUCCCGAGCGUUGUCCGGAUUUAUUGGGCGUAAAGCGAGCGCAGGCGGUUUGAUAAGUCUGAAGUUAAAGGCUGUGGCUCAACCAUAGUUCGCUUUGGAAACUGUCAAACUUGAGUGCAGAAGGGGAGAGUGGAAUUCCAUGUGUAGCGGUGAAAUGCGUAGAUAUAUGGAGGAACACCGGUGGCGAAAGCGGCUCUCUGGUCUGUAACUGACGCUGAGGCUCGAAAGCGUGGGGAGCGAACAGGAUUAGAUACCCUGGUAGUCCACGCCGUAAACGAUGAGUGCUAGGUGUUGGAUCCUUUCCGGGAUUCAGUGCCGCAGCUAACGCAUUAAGCACUCCGCCUGGGGAGUACGACCGCAAGGUUGAAACUCAAAGGAAUUGACGGGGGCCCGCACAAGCGGUGGAGCAUGUGGUUUAAUUCGAAGCAACGCGGAGAACCUUACCAGGCCUUGACAUCCCGAUGCUAUUUCUAGAGAUAGAAAGUUACUUCGGUACAUCGGUGACAGGUGGUGCAUGGUUGUCGUCAGCUCGUGUCGUGAGAUGUUGGGUUAAGUCCCGCAACGAGCGCAACCCCUAUUGUUAGUUGCCAUCAUUCAGUUGGGCACUCUAGCGAGACUGCCGGUAAUAAACCGGAGGAAGGUGGGGAUGACGUCAAAUCAUCAUGCCCCUUAUGACCUGGGCUACACACGUGCUACAAUGGUUGGUACAACGAGUUGCGAGUCGGUGACGGCAAGCUAAUCUCUUAAAGCCAAUCUCAGUUCGGAUUGUAGGCUGCAACUCGCCUACAUGAAGUCGGAAUCGCUAGUAAUCGCGGAUCAGCACGCCGCGGUGAAUACGUUCCCGGGCCU